rnacentral:rRNA from 1 species
GCUAACUCGGGCCAGGCGGCCGAGGGAGUACGUGGGUGGCAGGCUGUGGCCGGAUGUAGUGUGCGUAAAGCGCCCGUAGGCGGGUCGGUAAGUUUCAGUCGAAAUCGCCCGGCUCGACCGUGAGCGUGCCUGGAAAACUACCGGGCUUGAGGCAGGGAGAGGGAUGUGGAAGUCCCGGUGUAGUGGUGAAAUGCGUAGAUAUCGGGAGGAACACCAGUGGCGAAGGCGGCAUCCUGGCCCUGUCCUGACGCUCAGGGGCGAAAGCGUGGGGAGCAAACCGGAUUAGAUACCCGGGUAGUC